rnacentral:tRNA from 1 species
AAGAUGCUAGUAAAACGAUUAUUACAUUGCCUUGUCAAGGCAAAAUUGUAGGUUUAAACCCUGCGCAUCUUA